rnacentral:rRNA from 1 species
AGAGUUUGAUCCUGGCCCAGAACGAACGGUGGCGGUGUGCUUACUACAUGCAAGUCGAGCGGGCUCUGGGGUAACCUGGGGUUUAGCGGCGAACGGGUGAGUAAUGUAUAGACAACCUGCCUUCGAGAGGGGGAUAACGCACCGAAAGGUGUGCUAAUACCGCAUAAAGUUUAGCAGUCGCAUGAGUGUUAAAUGAAAGUGCGGGAGUACCUACGGGUAUCCGCACACUCGAAGAGGGAUCUAUAUCCUAUUAGCUAGUUGGUGGGGUAAAGGCCUACCAAGGCGAUGAUGGUAGCCGGCCCGAGAGGGUGUCCGGCCACAUGGGCACUGAGACACGGGCCCGACUCCUACGGGAGGCAGCAGUAGGGAAUCUUGGGCAAUGGGCGAAAGCCUGACCCAGCGACACCGCGUGGAUGAAGAAGGCCUUCGGGUUGUAAAAUCCUAACACAUAUUAGGAAGGUUUGUUGCCGAAUAAGUAACGAACUUGACGAAGGUAUGAGAUGAAGUCAUGGCUAACUCUGUGCCAGCAGCCGCGGUAAUACAGAGAUGACAACCGUUGUUCGGAAUCACUGGGCUUAAAGAGCACGUAGGCGGGACGAUAAGUCGGUUGUGAAAGUUCACGGCUCACCCGUGAAAGGUCAACCGAAACUAUAGUUCUUGAGGUCGGUAGGGGAGAGUGGAAUUCCUGGUGGAGCGGUGAAAUGCGUUGAUAUCAGGAGGAACGUCGGAGGCGUAGGCGACUCUCUGGGCCGAACCUGACGCUGAGGUGCGAAAGCUAGGGGAGCAAACGGGAUUAGAUACCCCGGUAGUCCUAGCCGUAAACGAUGGGCACUAAGUAGGGGGGGUAAUAUCCUCUCUGCCGGAGCAAAAGUGUUAAGUGCCCCGCCUGGGGAGUAUGGUCGCAAGGCUGAAGCUCAAAGGAAUUGACGGGGGCUCGCACAAGCGGUGGAGCAUGUGGUUUAAUUCGAAUCAACGCGAAGAACCUUACCUGGGUUUGACAUUCUGGGAUUAGCAUGCUGAAAGGUGUGUGACGGUCCUUAGGGACAGGAACCAGAACAGGUGUUGCAUGGCUGUCGUCAGCUCGUGCCGUGAGGUGUUGGGUUAAGUCCCAUAACGAGCGGAACCUUUGUCCUUAGUUGCCAACAAGUAAAGCUGGGGACUCUAAGGAGACUGCAGACGUCAAGUCUGAGGAAGGUGGAGACGACGUCAAGUCAUCAUGGCCCUUAUGCCCAGGGCUACACACGUGCUACAAUGGCCGGUACAAAGGGAAGCGAGGCCGCGAGGUGGAGCAAAUCCCAAAAAGCCGGUCUCAGUUCGGAUUGUGGGCUGCAAUUCGCCCACAUGAAGCUGGAAUCGCUAGUAAUCGUGGGUCAGCAAUACCACGGUGAAUGUGUUCCCGAGCCUUGUACACACCGCCCGUCAAGCCACCGAAGCAGGGGUAGCCUGAAGUCACUGACCCAACCUUUCGGGGAGGGAGGUGCCCAAGGAGACUUCUGUGACGGGGACUAAGUCGUAACAAGGUA